GACGAACGCUGGCGGCGUGCUUAACACAUGCAAGUCGAACGGUAAGGCCCUUCGGGGUACACGAGUGGCGAACGGGUGAGUAACGCGUGAGUAACCUGCCCUUCACUCUGGGAUAACAGUUGGAAACGGCUGCUAAUACCGGAUAUUCAGCUCCUGCCGCAUGGUGGGGGUUGGAAAGUUUUGGUGGUGGAGGAUGGGCUCGCGUCCUAUCAGCUUGUUGGUGGGGUGAUGGCCUACCAAGGCGUCGACGGGUAGCCGGCCUGAGAGGGCGACCGGCCACAUUGGGACUGAGAUACGGCCCAAACUCCUACGGGAGGCAGCAGUGGGGAAUAUUGCACAAUGGGCGGAAGCCUGAUGCAGCAACGCCGCGUGCGGGAUGACGGCCUUCGGGUUGUAAACCGCUUUCAGCAGGGACGAAGCGCAAGUGACGGUACCUGCAGAAGAAGCACCGGCUAACUACGUG
rnacentral:rRNA from 1 species